rnacentral:rRNA from 1 species
ACGAACGCUGGCGGCGUGCCUAAUACAUGCCAGUAGAACGCUGAAGGAGGAGCUUGCUUCUCCGGAUGAGUUGCGAACGGGUGAGUAACGCGUAGGUAACCUGCCUGGUAGCGGGGGAUAACUAUUGGAAACGAUAGCUAAUACCGCAUAACAGUAGAUAUUGCAUGAUAUCUGCUUGAAAGGUGCAAUUGCAUCACUACCAGAUGGACCUGCGUUGUAUUAGCUAGUUGGUGAGGUAACGGCUCACCAAGGCGACGAUACAUAGCCGACCUGAGAGGGUGAUCGGCCACACUGGGACUGAGACACGGCCCAGACUCCUACGGGAGGCAGCAGGAGGGAAUCUUCGGCAAUGGACGGAAGUCUGACCGAGCAACGCCGCGUGAGUGAAGAAGGUUUUCGGAUCGUAAAGCUCUGUUGUAAGAGAAGAACGAGUGUGAGAGUGGAAAGUUCACACUGUGACGGUAUCUUACCAGAAAGGGACGGCUAACUACGUG